CCUACGGGAGGCAGCAGUGAGGAAUAUUGGUCAAUGGGCGAAAGCCUGAACCAGCCAAGUCGCGUGCAGGAUGAAGGAUCUAUGGUUUGUAAACUUCUUUUAUAUGGGAAUAAAGUGAGGUACGUGUUCCUUUUUGUAUGUACCAUAUGAAUAAGCAUCGGCUAACUCCGUGCCAGCAGCCGCGGUAAUACGGAGGAUCCGGGCGUUAUCCGGAUUUAUUGGGUUUAAAGGGUGCGUAGGUGGCUAAUUAAGUGAGCUGUGAAAGUUUCGGGCUCAACCAUGAAAUUGCAGUUGAAACUGGCUGACUUGAGUACACUGGAGGUAGGCGGAAUGCGUCGUGUAGCGGUGAAAUGCAUAGAUAUGACGAAGAACCCCGAUUGCGAAGGCAGCUUACUAAACUAUAACUGACACUGUUGCACGAAAGCGCGGGUAUCAAACAGGAUUAGAUACCCUUGUAGUC
rnacentral:rRNA from 1 species